CUUAACCUACGACUCCGCAGUCGCGGUAAGUCUUAUGUUGCUAGCGUUGUCCUGGAUUCUUGGGUGUAAAGUGCUCGUAGGCGGUUUGUCGCGUCCGUCGUGAAAGUCCUGGGCUUAACCCCUGAUCUGCGGUGGGUACGGGCAGACUAGAGUGCAGUAGGGGAGACUGGAAUUCCUGGUGUAGCGGUGGAAUGCGCAGAUAUCAGGAGGAACACCGAUGGCGAAGGCAGGUCUCUUGGCUGUAACUGACGCUGAGGAGCGAAAGCAUGGGGAGCGAACAGGAUUAGAUACCCCGGUCGUC
rnacentral:rRNA from 1 species